CAGUAGCCGCGGUAAUACGUAGGGUGCAAGCGUUAAUCGGAAUUACUGGGCGUAAAGCGUGCGCAGGCGGUUAUAUAAGACAGAUGUGAAAUCCCCGGGCUCAACCUGGGAACUGCAUUUGUGACUGUAUAGCUAGAGUACGGCAGAGGGGGAUGGAAUUCCGCGUGUAGCAGUGAAAUGCGUAGAUAUGCGGAGGAACACCGAUGGCGAAGGCAAUCCCCUGGGCCUGUACUGACGCUCAUGCACGAAAGCGUGGGGAGCAAACAGGAUUAGAUACCCCUGUAGCCCUGUCUCUUAUACA
rnacentral:rRNA from 1 species